rnacentral:lncRNA from 1 species
GUGGAGAUUUUUAAGUAAAGAUAAGUCCAGGGAAACAGUCGAGUUCAGUCAAUCUUCUCUAUGAACUUAAUGCCCAGAGCUUGUAAAAUAUCCAGUGCUGCAAUACAACAAAAAAGGUACUAUCAUCUGAUAUUAUUGUUAUUAUUAUUUAAUUUUACAUGUUAUCUAUUCUGCGAUGCCAACAAAAUGGAAAACAUGUUUAGCAAGUGAAAUUUAGAAUACCUGGCACGUAUACUUCAGGUUCAAUAGGCCUUACAACACCUCUUGUCUUGAUCUUGUUCUCCAGUAAGAGCUUCGACAAAUCAAAAAGUCUUUAAGUUAAAGCAUUUUCCCAAAAGCAAUGGCGUGGAAUUAGUGAGUAUAGAACUAGUACCAGAGCACCAAUUGCUGCUGGAAGACCAACAGUGAGAGC